UGAUUAUCACAUACCAUGCACAUGCAUAUUCUCUGAGAGGGAGAGGAUCAAGCAGGCAAGUAAACCAAACACUAGUUAGUGUAAAACCAGCCUUGAGCCAAAACACCAGUUACUUUUUUGGCAAGCAAAAAGGAAAUAGAGACUAUAUAAAAUUGGCACCAAAGGACGUCUAUCUGUAUAACUAAAAGACACUGAAAGAGCCAAGCACCACAGACUCUGUGCUCGCUAUGGAAAGGAAAAAGAAUGAACUGACAACAAAACUCUAUAGGCCAACAACUACCAAAUAUUGUUGGCAGUCACAGGUUUAUGCUUUAUAGAAAUCAUAUUUUUCCAGUGUACUCCAAAUUCCUAGGUGUUAUGCCCAACUGAAAGACAAUGAUUUUCUCAAAAUUGUUUUCAACUAAAAAAAAAUUUAGACAGGCAAAUUUCAACCACCCAACUAGUUACAAAGAUCUGCGGAAGGAUAAUAUCGCAAUGGGUAUAUUUUCAUCUGUAGUCCAUAUUGUCAUUAAAUAUCCUUCAAUCUUCAAUCCAUUAUUCUGCUGAUUUCAGAACUUCUUCUAGCCAAAUAUUUCAAAUGCAUACAUCAUAAACUAAAAAGACUACUCCAGCCUUCUUACGAUUCACAGCUUACAGUAAAACUAUACUCAAAAUCAUAUAGAGACAACCUCAAGCCUAAUUAAAUAUCAAUAUGAGGGA
rnacentral:misc_RNA from 1 species